UACGUAGGGAGCAAGCGUUGUCCGGAAUCAUUGGGCGUAAAGCGCGCGUAGGAGGCCCGGUAAGUCCGUUGUAAAAGUCGAAGGCUCAACCUUCGAAAGCCGAUGGAUACUGCCGGGCUAGAGUUCGGAAGAGGCGAGUGGAAUUCCUGGUGUAGCGGUGGAAUGCGCAGAUAUCUGGAGGAACACCGGUGGCGAAGGCGGCAUCCUGGACCAAUUCUGACGCUGAGUGAGCGAAAGCCAGGGGAGCAAACGGG
rnacentral:rRNA from 1 species